rnacentral:snRNA from 1 species
AUCUCUGCGCAGUGGCAGUAUCGUAGCCUAUGAGGUUUACCGAGGCGUGAUUAUUGCUAGUUGAAAACUUUACCCAAUACCCCGCCUAGACGACUUGAAAUAUAGUCGGCGACGGCAAUUUUUGACGGUCUCUAUGGAGA